UAUCUGAGAGUCCAGUCAAAAGUAAUGA
rnacentral:sRNA from 1 species